UACUAGAUAAAGAUGACAAGGAGGAUUUAAAAACAUGAGACCCUUCAGAUAAGGUCAUUAUCUUCACUCGAGUUUCUGAGUGGGGAAGUUGCCGGACGACACACUCUUGUGAACGUAGCCAUACUGAGAAAUACAGAGAGAACUGUGUGGAGCCGAUAGCCUUAAUUAGCUUUGUA